rnacentral:rRNA from 1 species
ACACUCCUGCGGGAGGCAGCAGUGGGGAAUAUUGGACAAUGGGCGCAAGCCUGAUCCAGCCAUGCCGCGUGAGUGAUGAAGGCCCUAGGGUUGUAAAGCUCUUUCACCGGAGAAGAUAAUGACGGUAUCCGGAGAAGAAGCCCCGGCUAACUUCGUGCCAGCAGCCGCGGUAAUACGAAGGGGGCUAGCGUUGUUCGGAAUUACUGGGCGUAAAGCGCACGUAGGCGGAUCGAUCAGUCAGGGGUGAAAUCCCAGGGCUCAACCCUGGAACUGCCUUUGAUACUGUCGAUCUGGAGUAUGGAAGAGGUGAGUGGAAUUCCGAGUGUAGAGGUGAAAGUCGUAGAUAUUCGGAGGAACACCAGUGGCGAAGGCGGCUCACUGGUCCAUUACUGACGCUGAGGUGCGAAAGCGUGGGGAGCAAACAGGAUUAGAUACCCGUGUAGUCC